rnacentral:rRNA from 1 species
UGGGGAAUUUUGGACAAUGGGCGAAAGCCUGAUCCAGCAAUGCCGCGUGUGUGAAGAAGGCCUUCGGGUUGUAAAGCACUUUUGUCCGGAAAGAAAUCCUUGGCUCUAAUACAGUCGGGGGAUGACGGUACCGGAAGAAUAAGCACCGGCUAACUACGUGCCAGCAGCCGCGGUAAUACGUAGGGUGCAAGCGUUAAUCGGAAUUACUGGGCGUAAAGCGUGCGCAGGCGGUUUGCUAAGACCGAUGUGAAAUCCCCGGGCUCAACCUGGGAACUGCAUUGGUGACUGGCAGGCUAGAGUAUGGCAGAGGGGGGUAGAAUUCCACGUGUAGCAGUGAAAUGCGUAGAGAUGUGGAGGAAUACCGAUGGCGAAGGCAGCCCCCCUGGGCCAAAUACUGACGCUCAUGCACGAAGGCGUGGGGAGCAAAACAGGAUUAGAUACCCUGGUAGUCCACGCCCCUAAAACGAUGUCAACUAGUUGUUGGGGAUUCAUUUCCUUAGUAACGUAGCUAAACGCGUGAAGUUGACCGCCUGGGGAGUACGUCGCAAGAUUAAAACUUAAAGGAAUUGACGGGGUCAUAGCUG